AGUGAACGCUGGCGGUAGGCCUAACACAUGCAAGUCGAACGGCAGCACAGUAAGAGCUUGCUCUUACGGGUGGCGAGUGGCGGACGGGUGAGGAAUACAUCGGAAUCUACUUUUUCGUGGGGGAUCACGUAGGGAAACUUACGCUAAUACCGCAUACGACCUACGGGUGAAAGCAGGGGAUCUUCGGACCUUGCGCGAUUGAAUGAGCCGAUGUCGGAUUAGCUAGUUGGCGGGGUAAAGGCCCACCAAGGCGACGAUCCGUAGCCGGUCUGAGAGGAUGAUCAGCCACACUGGAACUUAGACACGGUCCAGACUCCUGCGGGAGGCAGCAGUGGGGAAUAUUGGACAAUGGGCGCAAGCCUGAUCCAGCCAUACCGCGUGGGUGAAGAAGGCCUUCGGGUUGUAAAGCCCUUUUGUCGGGAAAGAAAAGCAGCAGGUUAAUACCCCGCUGUUCUGACGGUACCCAAAGAAUAAGCACCGGCUAACUUCGUG
rnacentral:rRNA from 1 species